rnacentral:rRNA from 1 species
AGAGCGAACGCUGGCGGCAGGCCUAACACAUGCAAGUCGAGCGCCCGUAGCAAUACGGGAGCGGCAGACGGGAGAGUAACACGUGGGAACGUACCCUUCAGUUCGGAAUAACCCAGGGAAACUUGGACUAAUACCGAAUACGUCCGUAAGGAGAAAGAUUUAUCGCUGAAGGAUCGGCCCGCGUCUGAUUAGCUUGUUGGUGAGGUAACGGCUCACCAAGGCGACGAUCAGUAGCUGGUCUGAGAGGAUGAUCAGCCACAUUGGGACUGAGACACGGCCCAAACUCCUACGGGAGGCAGCAGUGGGAAUAUUGGACAAUGGGCGCAAGCCUGAUCCAGCCAUGCCGCGUGAGUGAUGAAGGCCCUAGGGUUGUAAAGCUCUUUUGUGCGGGAAGAUAAUGACGGUACCGCAAGAUAAGCCCGGCUAACUUCGUGCCAGCAGCCGC